CAAAAUAUUCAUCUUCUUUACGACCUGACUCACUGCUUGGGGCUAUAAUGAGUGGGUUGCUGAAGUAAAAAUGGAGAUGAAAGGAAUUUUUCGCCCUCUGGUAACCUUGAAGGACGUUCCCAAUGAGUUUUACCGUGUCAGGGAGCGAACGUCAGCAGCUCCUCGAAACGAUCUCUGAAUGGCACGAGCACAGCUAAUCUGUGGAGCGACUUCCCCGAGAGUUUUCGCACAUUUUUGGAGUCCUGCAGUCGUUCAGAGUAUCCAGGACAUUUGCAUCCCUCUGAAAUCAUGAAAAAUCAUUAUCAAUGAAGCGGACUGUUUUAACUUUCAACGUUCAAGGAUAUCCAAGUAUUUUCACAGCUGGGUAGAGCUCUCACCAGAGAUUCAAUCAUUUUCAAUGACAAUACCAUUGUGUCAAUGAGUGUUGAAGGUACACGAAAACCUGAAUGUUUUCACAUUUUUCAACUGAAUUUUAACAAUUUUUUUUUAGUUUUUUCUGGUGUCAUUACCGUACUAUUCAACCGAUUUCAAUGAAUAAAAAAAAACAAUUUUGGUCUCUCCAUGGUCUAUUGGGAUAUACCUUUUCAUUUUUCUUAUUACCCUGGUAGGAACUGCCAAGUAUUGACAACAUGGCCAAGCUGAGUUGACUCUAAACUACCAAACCUGGCAUUUCCUAACAUGUGUGUGGCUUCAACCGACGAUGAUGCCAAUCUAGGGCCAACGUUAUCUCGAUAGGUCACCCCGAAGCCCGGUAGUGACCCUAGCUCCUAGCCUGGUUCAAGCUUGUGGCCAGGCUAGGAACUUUCUAGAGUGGCUCUGGCUUCAGCCAAUGGUCAUCCCAAUGGAGUCAUAAAAUUAUGGAAAAUUUAUUGGAGUCGAUUAUGGUUUAUUUUUAUUUAAAAAAUCAACACUUGUCUUAUGUUAAUAGUCGAUUAAUGUCAAGUUGGUUAAUUAAAUAGACAUCACCUGCACGACUCAAUGUAUUCAAUACGAAGUUUCUUAUAUAUUAUGUUUAAGUGGUUGAUAUCAGAUUUUUCUAACAAUGUUAUAAAUGGAAAAUAAAAUAAAUAUGUGUUGAUUUUGA